AGCGAACGCUGGCGGCGUGCCUAACACAUGCAAGUCGAACGUGAAAAGGGAAACCUGAGUAAAGUGGCGUACGGGUGAGUAACGCGUAGGUAAUCUACCCCAGAAUCUGGAAUAACCUGCCGAAAGGCGGGCUAAUACUGGAUAGAGCGAGGGAACUCGUAAGAGAGUUUUUCGGGAAAGGGAGCCCGCAAGGGCCUUCGUUCUGGGAUGAGCCUGCGUCUCAUUAGCUAGUUGGUAAGGUAACGGCUUACCAAGGCGAUGAUGAGUAGCUGGUCUGAGGGGAUGAUCAGCCACACUGGAACUGAAACACGGUCCAGACUCCUACGGGAGGCAGCAGUGGGGAAUCUUGCGCAAUGGACGAAAGUCUGACGCAGCCACGCCGCGUGAGUGAAGAAGGCCUUCGGGUUGUAAAGCUCUGUCGGAUGGGACGAACAUCUUCAUAGUGAAUAGCUAUGAGGACUGACGGUACCAUCAAAGGAAGCACCGGCUAACUCCGUG
rnacentral:rRNA from 1 species